GAUGAACGCUAGCUACAGGCUUAACACAUGCAAGUCGAGGGACCGGCGCACGGGUGAGUAACACGUAUCCAACCUGCCCUUUACUCGGGGAAAUCCUUUCGACAGAAAGAUUAAUACCCGAUAUAAAGGAUGGGGCUGCGUUCCCUUAGGUUGUUGGUGAGGUAACGGCUCACAAAGCCUUCGAUGGAUAGGGGUACUGAGAGGAAGGUCCCUGAAAUUGGAACUUAGUCACGGUCCAAACGCCGACGGGAGGGAGGAGUGAGGAAUAGUGGUGAAUGGGCGCUAGCCUGAAACAGCCAAGUUGUGUGAAGGAUGAAUGCUUAUGGGUCGUAAACUUUUUUGAUAUAAGAAUAUGAAUUAUAUGAAUAAGGAUCGGCUAACUCCGUGCCAGCAGCCGCGGUAAUUC
rnacentral:rRNA from 1 species